rnacentral:rRNA from 1 species
CCCAACGAGAUCGGGAUAACACCUGGAAACAGAUGCUAAUACCGGAUAACAACAGAUGAUGCCUAUCAACUGUUUAAAAGAUGGUUCUGCUAUCACUCUUGGAUGGACCUGCGGUGCAUUAGCUAGUUGGUAGGGCAACGGCCUACCAAGGCGAUGAUGCAUAGCCGAGUUGAGAGACUGAUCGGCCACAUUGGGACUGAGACACGGCCCAAACUCCUACGGGAGGCAGCAGUG